rnacentral:tRNA from 1 species
ACCUCCGUGGUAUAGUGGGUAUCACACUAGGCUUGCAUGCUAGAGGUCCCGGAUUCGAUUCCCAGCGGAGUCG